rnacentral:lncRNA from 1 species
GAUUGGUCUAAUAUUUUUUGACUACUUUUUAUAGUUGACUGAUGAUCGAUUAUGAUUAAUCGAUGUGAACAAGCUAUGAUUUAAGAUCUUUUUUCUCAUGAAGUGCGAUAUAACAACUCAUCAAAAUAUAGUUGCUGGUUGGUGGAGAAUGAAAAUAGACGUAAUGAGUUCUCAUCCACAUCGUUUCAUUUCUUGCAAACCCAAAUAUGAGCAUACAUACA